rnacentral:rRNA from 1 species
UACGUAGGGGGCUAGCGUUGUUCGGAUUUACUGGGCGUAAAGCGCACGUAGGCGGAUCUUUUAGUCAGGGGUGAAAUCCCGAGGCUCAACCUCGGAACUGCCUUUGAUACUGGGGAUCUUGAGUCCGGGAGAGGUGAGUGGAACUGCGAGUGUAGAGGUGAAAUUCGUAGAUAUUCGCAAGAACACCAGUGGCGAAGGCGGCUCACUGGCCCGAUACUGACGCUGAGGUGCGAAAGCGUGGGGAGCGAACAGG